rnacentral:rRNA from 1 species
AGUGAACGCUGGCGGUAGGCCUAACACAUGCACGUCGAACGGCAGCACUGUAAGACCUUGUUCUUCUGGGUGGCGAGUGGCGGCCGGGUGCCGAAUACAUCGGACUCUACUUUUACUUGGGGGAUAACGUCGGGCGACUUACGCUAGUACAUCAUACGACCUUCGGGUGAAGCCAGGGGCUCUUCGGCCCUUGCACGAUUGAUUCAGCCGAUGUCCAGUUAGCUAGUUGGCGGGGUAAAGGCCCACCAAGGCGACGAUCCGUAGCGGGUCUGUGAGGAUGAUCAGCCACACUGGAACUGAGACACGGUCCAGACUCCUACGGGAGGCAGCAGUCGGGAAUAUUGGACAAUGGGCGCAAGCCUGAUCCAGCCAUACCGCGUGGGUGAAGAAGGCCUUCGGGUUGUAAAGCCCUUUUGGUGGGAAAGACAAGCAGCAGGUUAACACCCCGCUGUUCUGACGGUACCCAAAGAAUAAGCACCGGCUAACUUCGUG